rnacentral:rRNA from 1 species
UACGUAGGUGGCAAGCGUUGUCCGGAUUUACUGGGCGUAAAGAGCGCGCAGGCGGUCGUUCAAGUCGCGUGUGAAAGCCCCCGGCUCAACUGGGGAGGGUCACGCGAUACUGAUCGACUCGAAGGCAGGAGAGGGUAGUGGAAUUCCCGGUGUAGUGGUGAAAUGCGUAGAUAUUGGGAAGAACACCUGAGGCGAAGGCGGGUUGCUGGGCCGACACUGACGCUGAGGCGCGAAAGCCAGGGGAGCAAACGGG